ACAUACAGGCGGCAAUGUUGCGCUACUUGUAUAUAUAUAACGUUGUCAACUAUGUGUAUGAAUGUCCAUACUGUAAGGAGUAAUUAUGUUAGCAGUUGGCGCACAUAUUGGUGAAGAAUGUACUCUAUCAAGUGAUAUUUAUUUCGUGGGACUCGAUUAGUCGUGGUGCUUGGUGAACAUAUAGUGGGUGUUUAGCUGUUCACGGUGGCCAUGACUUCUUGUACCCCAGCCUGCACCCAGCAGUGACAUCCGCCGCGCAGCGAGCAGCCGUCGGGACCUGGCCAUGCACUGUAACCGUUGACGCACCCUUCAUGGAGGGAAAUAGGAAGUUUUACCACGGUGGUAUUUUUAAAGUUUCUAUAUGCCGGGUGGGAGGCUGCCCACGCUAUGUACACAGAUAUAAGGCCUUCACAUCAUCGCCCAUGGCAUCUGGGUUUGUUAUGUAGGUUACUCUGGCCGUGGCAGUACAUAUAUAUUGCAGGCAGUCAAAAUAAGCAUGUGUCUCUGUUGUUGAUUACACAAAUUCUCUGUUCCGAGUGAAUGAAAGUCUCAAGCCUUUGAUAUUCCUUUAUUGCACUCUGUAUCACACAUUUCAGAGAUCCUUACAUAAACUGCUAUCAAUGUA